rnacentral:rRNA from 1 species
UACGGAGGGUGCGAGCGUUGUCCGGAAUCACUGGGCGUAAAGGGCGCGUAGGCGGCCUGAUAAGUAGGGGGUGAAAUCCUGCGGCUUAACCGCAGGGCUGCCUUCUAAACUGUCAGGCUAGAGCACAGUAGAGGCAGGUGGAAUUCCUGGUGUAGCGGUGAAAUGCGCAGAUAUCAGGAAGAACACCCGUGGCGAAGGCGGCUCUCUGGGACGGUACUGACGCUGAGACGCGAAAGCGUGGGGAGCGAACAGG